rnacentral:tRNA from 1 species
AGAAACGAUAAAUCGUAGCCAGUUUCGACCUGACCUUAGGUUCUUAUUAACCCUUACUUGCUUA